rnacentral:rRNA from 1 species
GGUUGCGAUCAUACCAACACUAAUGCACCGGAUCCCAUCAGAACUCCGUAGUUAAGCGUGCUUGGGCGAGAGUAGUACUAGGAUGGGUGACCCCCUGGGAAGUCCUCGUGUUGCAACCC